rnacentral:ncRNA from 2 species
CUUACUCGUGAACGCGACGGUUCCCUCACGGGAUCAAAAGGGAACGCAGUGCGGAUGGCCUGGCCAUUCUAUGCUGCGGCUGCCCCCGCAACUGUAAGCGGCGAGCCUCAUCGCCACACGCCACUGGGCCCUCGGACCUGGGAAGGCGGCGACGAGGCCACGACCCGCGAGCCAGGAGACCUGCCGUCAGUCGUGGUCACAC